UAUAAAAUAUAAAUUCAUAAAUGAAUCUGAGAGAAUAUUUGAGGAGGUUGAGUUGUAAAAUUUAAUGAAACACAGAGGAAGCAAGCAACGGUAACAUUUGAGUUUGGAAGUUCUUUAAGGGGCAGUUUGGGGAUAUGUGAAAUGUUAACGGCAACUUUUGUGUAAGAUGAAAAGCAGAUGGUGAUUUGCAGAGAAGAGCUUUCUUAUUGUGGGGGCGCCAACUGCUUCAUUUUUCACUCUCUUCUUUCUACUUCUCUGUUAGACUUUUGCUCACUCACUCUCUUCCUUUCUCUAUCUUUGAUUCUUUUUCUCUUCCUGCUUUUUUCUUUUCUUUGUCAUUGCUUUGUCAAUCAAUUCCAUUGUUUUUAUUGCGUAAACACUCUUGAGACUGUGUCUUAUCUCUCUCUCUGUCUCUCUGUGUUUCUUUUUCUUUGUCAGUCUGAAUCCAUUCUUUGAUUCAUUUGUUAGAUAGCCAUUUGAGCCUACGAGCUAAAGAAAACCAUGGCAGCUCCAAAACCUGAAGAGAUUACUCAUCCGCCAAUGGACCAGCUUCAAGGCUUAGAGUACUGUAUUGACUCCAACCCGUCUUGGGGAGAGGCUAUAAUUUUGGGAUUUCAGCAUUACAUUUUGGCUCUAGGAACAGCUGUUAUGAUCCCUUCGUUUCUUGUUCCUUUAAUGGGAGGCUCAGAUGGUGACAAGGCGAGGGUGGUACAAACACUUCUCUUUGUAGAAGGGAUUAAUACACUUCUACAAACACUGUUUGGAACCAGGCUACCGACUGUCAUUGGAGGAUCCUAUGCGUUUAUGGUUCCAAUUAUAUCAAUAAUUCAUGAUCCAUCUUUGGCGAGUAUUGAGGAUCAUCAUGUGCGAUUUCUUUACACAAUGAGAGCAGUUCAAGGUGCUCUGAUAGUGGCAUCAAGCAUACAAAUCAUUCUUGGAUACAGCCAACUGUGGGGCAUCUGUUCCAGGUUCUUCAGCCCCCUUGGAAUGGUUCCAGUUAUUGCUUUGGUGGGCUUUGGCCUAUUUGAUAGAGGCUUCCCGGUGCUUGGGAGGUGUGUGGAGAUUGGCAUUCCUAUGCUAAUACUAUUUAUUGCCUUGUCACAGUACUUGAAGAAUUUUCUGACAAGACAAUUGCCAAUUAUGGAGAGGUUUGCUCUCCUGAUAUCCAUCACAGUGAUUUGGGCAUAUGCACACCUUCUGACAGCCAGUGGCACAUAUAAACAUCGUCCAGAACUUACCCAAUUGAAUUGCCGAACUGACAAGGCCAACUUGAUUUCUACUGCUCCGUGGAUAAAAAUCCCAUAUCCUCUUCAAUGGGGUGCUCCUACAUUUAAUGCUGGUCAUGCUUUUGGGAUGAUGGCCGCUGUUCUAGUUUCAUUGAUUGAGUCAACUGGAGCAUACAAGGCUGCAUCACGUCUAGCAAGUGCCACGCCACCUCCAGCUCAUGUGCUUAGCCGUGGCAUAGGCUGGCAGGGAAUAGGGAUCCUACUGGAUGGACUCUUCGGAACUUUGACUGGUUCUUCAGUCUCUGUAGAAAAUGUGGGGCUGCUUGGAAGCACUCGUAUUGGAAGCCGCAGGGUCAUUCAAAUUUCAGCUGGCUUUAUGAUAUUCUUCUCAAUAUUAGGAAAAUUUGGAGCUUUGUUUGCAUCAAUCCCCUUCACCAUAUUUGCUGCUGUGUACUGUGUUUUGUUUGGUCUUGUUGCAUCCGUUGGGCUGUCAUUUUUGCAAUUCACAAACAUGAACUCAAUGAGGAAUCUCUUCAUUGUCGGUGUUGCCCUCUUCUUAGGUUUGUCUAUUCCAGAAUACUUCCGUGAAUACACUGCCAAGGCUCUUCACGGCCCUGCUCACUCCAAGGCUGGAUGGCUUAACAAUUUCCUGAAUACCAUAUUCUUCUCAUCUCCAACUGUUGCACUGAUUGUUGCGGUUUUCCUAGACAACACACUUGACUACAAAGACAGUGCUAAAGACAGAGGCAUGCCCUGGUGGGUGAAAUUCCGGACAUUUAAAGGAGACCCCCGGAAUGAGGAGUUCUAUACUCUCCCUUUCAACCUCAAUCGUUUCUUCCCUCCUCCUUAAAGGAAAUGCAAUUUCAAAAGGCAGAUGUGAGAUCAAGAGCCCCAUCUUCAAGAUAAGGGAUAUAUGAUUUAUCCAACUGAGUUCCGCAGAGAAGAGUGACAAAGAGAUCCAUAUGUUUUUCCAUGGCAGAGAAAUGACAACUCCGUUUUCUCUUCCUUUUUCUAUCAUCAUAUGUAAAUUUCACUCAGUUGAGUUUGCCAGUCAUGUGUCAGUUUUACAAAAAUUUUCAACUUCGUAUUGCCAUCGGUGGAAUGUCUCCCAGUAUUAAUUUAAGGAAAAAGAAUGCCAAGAUCUGCACAUGCAUUCUGCCCACCUUGGUUGUCAAUAAGUGCUUCGACCAUAACCUCUCAUACGUGUACCCUUUGACCUUCCUCAACCAUCUUUCGUACUCUCUGUUCAAAAUCAUUCCAUCCUAUGGUGCUCUUCUCAGCCAAAAUUGCUGCAAGCCUUUUCUUAUUAGGUCUCAAGUUAGGAGCAUGCCCGCCACCGUAGUAAGUUCGGAAUCCAGACACCAGAGAUGACAGUUGGCUCCCAGAAUCAGUCAUGGCAAAGACAUCAGCAGUUGCACAGGCAAUGAAAUCCAGUGCUGCCAGCUGCACACAGAGAAAUUCUCUACUUAUGUUACUUCAUGCAAUGUUCAAAUACCAGCAAUAGAGUGAUUGAUUAAGCAUGUUUAAGUAACAUUUCCAAAGUUAUUCUGGUGAUAGAAGCCUUAAGAUUUUUUUCUUUUGAAUUA